rnacentral:rRNA from 1 species
CGUGCCUAAUACAUGCAAGUCGAACGGUCUUUCUAUGGAAGCUUGCUUCCGCUGAGAAGAUAGUGGCGAACGGGUGAGUAACACGUGGGUAACCUGCCCAUAAGAGGGGGGAUAACAUCCGGAAACGGGUGCUAAUACCGCAUAGUUUCUUGAUCGCAUGAUCGGGAAAGGAAAGACGGCCUUUGUGCUGUCGCUUAUGGAUGGACCCGCGGCGUAUUAGUUAGUUGGUGAGGUAACGGCUCACCAAGACGAUGAUACGUAGCCGACCUGAGAGGGUGAUCGGCCACAUUGGGACUGAGACACGGCCCAAACUCCUACGGGAGGCAGCAGUAGGGAAUCUUCCGCAAUGGACGAAAGUCUGACGGAGCAACGCCGCGUGAGUGAAGAAAAGGUUUUCGGAUCGUAAAACUCUGUUGUCAGAGAAGAACAAGUUGGAGAGUAACUGCUCCAGCCUUGACGGUAUCUGACCAGAAAGCCACGGCUAACUACGUGCCAGCCGCCGC